GACGAACGCUGGCGGCGUGCUUAACACAUGCAAGUCGAACGGAAAGGCCCUGCUUUUGUGGGGUGCUCGAGUGGCGAACGGGUGAGUAACACGUGAGUAACCUGCCCUUGACUUUGGGAUAACUUCAGGAAACUGGGGCUAAUACCGGAUAGGAGCUCCUGCUGCAUGGUGGGGGUUGGAAAGUUUCGGCGGUUGGGGAUGGACUCGCGGCUUAUCAGCUUGUUGGUGGGGUAGUGGCUUACCAAGGCUUUGACGGGUAGCCGGCCUGAGAGGGUGACCGGCCACAUUGGGACUGAGAUACGGCGCAGACUCCUACGGGAGGCAGCAGUGGGGAAUAUUGCACAAUGGGCGGGAGCCUGAUGCAGCAACGCCGCGUGCGGGAUGACGGCCUUCGGGUUGUAAACCGCUUUCGCCUGUGACGAAGCGUGAGUGACGGUAAUGGGUAAAGAAGCACCGGCUAACUACGUG
rnacentral:rRNA from 1 species